GCCAAUAUGUUUGGAAUUGGUAGACAUGACAGACUUAAAAUCUGUUUUCCUUAAAAGGAAUUAAGGGUUCGAGUCCCUUUAUCGGUA
rnacentral:tRNA from 1 species